rnacentral:lncRNA from 1 species
CCAGAAUAAACCAGACUUGCCUCCUUGGAUCUGCAUAGCACAACAGUCCAGAGAUCUUAAACAUGAAGAGUUUCUCCUGAGAACUCAGGGUCACAGUCAAGGAGAGAGAGAGAAGGCCUGUGAAUUCACUGGGAUCGUCUGAAAGCAGCAUUGGUCCUGUCCCGCUGGAAGCCUUGGUCUACAGCUGUCCCAUACAUGACCUUCACUGAACACCCAGCCAAGAAUUGCAGUGAAAGGUUCAGCACUGCCUGCCAGAGUUUUUCCUGUCGCUCAGAGUCCCCUUGCUGGAAACAAGCAGCCGAUUUAAAAAGAUAUUGGAAGAACAGCUUGGACACAGAAAGGAAUGACCUCGAGCCUUAAAAAACAGACGAGCUUUUCAGUGGCUUGAAUCUUGGAACAAGAAGCUAAAAGUCAUACAAG